GAGUUUGAUCGUGGCUCAGAGCGAACGCUGGCGGCAGGCCUAAUACAUGCAAGUCGAGCGCCCCUUCGGGGGAGCGGCGGACGGGUGAGUAACGCGUGGGAACGUGCCCUUUGGUACGGAACAACUGAGGGAAACUUCAGCUAAUACCGUAUGUGCCCUUCGGGGGAAAGAUUUAUCGCCAUUGGAGCGGCCCGCGUUGGAUUAGGUAGUUGGUGGGGUAAAGGCCUACAAAGCCUACGAUCCAUAGCUGGUCUGAGAGGAUGAUCAGCCACACUGGGACUGAGACACGGCCCAGACUCCUACGGGAGGCAGCAGUAGGGAAUCUUGCGCAAUGGGCGAAAGCCUGACGCAGCCAUGCCGCGUGUAUGAUGAAGGUCUUAGGAUUGUAAAAUACUUUCACCGGGGAAGAUAAUGACGGUACCCGGAGAAGAAGCCCCGGCUAACUUCGUGCCAGCAGCCGCCGUAAG
rnacentral:rRNA from 2 species